UACGUAGGGAGCGAGCGUUGUCCGGAUUCAUUGGGCGUAAAGAGCUCGUAGGCGGCUUGGUAAGUCGGAUGUGAAACCUCCAGGCUCAACCCGGAGUCGCCAUCCGAUACUGCCAUGGCUAGAGUCCGGUAGGGGCCCACGGAAUUCCUGGUGUAGCGGUGAAAUGCGCAGAUAUCAGGAGGAACACCGGUGGCGAAGGCGGUUCUCUGGGCCUUACCUGACGCUGAGGAGCGAAAGCGUGGGGAGCAAACAGG
rnacentral:rRNA from 1 species